GUUCAUAUAGUUUAAAGUCAACAAAUUAGACUGUGGCUCUAAAAAUAGAGGUUUAAACCCCCUUAUAAACC
rnacentral:tRNA from 1 species